rnacentral:rRNA from 1 species
GAUGUACGCUAGCGACAGGCUUAACACAUGCAAGUCAGGGGCAGCGAGGGCGUAGCAAUACGCCUGUCGGCGACCGGCGCACUGGUGAGUAACACGUAUGCGACCUGCCCCCUACAGGGGUAUAACCCGUAGAAAUGCGGACUAAUCCCCCAUAGUCCUGGGUGCUGCAUGGCAUUCAGGGGAAAGGGUUUCCGGUAGGGGAUGGGCAUGCGGCGCAUUAGCUUGUUGGCGGGGUAACGGCCCACCAAGGCGACGAUCAGUAGGGGUUCUGAGAGGAAGGUCCCCCACAUUGGAACUGAGACACGGUCCAAACUCCUACGGGAGGCAGCAGUGAGGAAUAUUGGUCAAUGGGCGCAAGCCUGAACCAGCCAAGUAGCGUGAGGGAAGACUGCCCUACGGGUUGUAAACCUCUUUUGUUUGGGAAUAAAGUGCGGGACGUGUCCCGCAUUGCAUGUACCAUUUGAAUAAGGACCGGCUAAUUCCGUG